rnacentral:rRNA from 1 species
AUACGGAGGGUGCGAGCGUUAUCCGGAUUUAUUAGGUUUAAAGGGUGUGUAGGCGGGAGCCUAAGUCAGUGGUGAAAUCUCACAGCUUAACUGUGAAACUGCCAUUGAAACUGGGUUUCUUGAGUAUAGUUGAGAUAGGCGGAAUGUGUAAUGUAGCGGUGAAAUGCAUAGAUAUUACACAGAACACCGAUUGCGAAGGCAGCAUACUAAGCUAUUACUGACGCUGAUGCACGAAAGCGUGGGUAGCGAACAGGAUUAGAAACCCCGGUAGUCC